rnacentral:piRNA from 1 species
CCCAGGGCAUAACUCAGUGAGUGUUCUG